GCAUUGGUGGUUCAAUGGAAGAAUUCUCGCCUGCCACGCGGGAGACCCGGGUCCGAUUCCCGGCCAAUGCA
rfam:Takifugu rubripes genomic scaffold, scaffold_7889